rnacentral:rRNA from 1 species
GAUGAACGCUGGCGGCGUGCCUAAUACAUGCAAGUCGAGCGAACGGACGAGAAGCUUGCUUCUCUGAUGUUAGCGGCGGACGGGUGAGUAACACGUGGAUAACCUACCUAUAAGACUGGGAUAACUUCGGGAAACCGGAGCUAAUACCGGAUAAUAUUUUGAACCGCAUGGUUCAAAAGUGAAAGACGGUCUUGCUGUCACUUAUAGAUGGAUCCGCGCUGCAUUAGCUAGUUGGUAAGGUAACGGCUUACCAAGGCAACGAUGCAUAGCCGACCUGAGAGGGUGAUCGGCCACACUGGAACUGAGACACGGUCCAGACUCCUACGGGAGGCAGCAGUAGGGAAUCUUCCGCAAUGGGCGAAAGCCUGACGGCGCAACGCCGCGUGAGUGAUGAAGGUCUUCGGAUCGUAAAACUCUGUUAUUAGGGAAGAACAUAUGUGUAAGUAACUGUGCACAUCUUGACGGUACCUAAUCAGAAAGCCACGGCUAACUACGU